GUUCGGCAACGGUACCUGCGAGAUCUCCCCGGAGUUUAAGGAGGAUGUUCUGAAGAUCAAGUAAAUGUCACCAAGGGAAUAUCGGAAGCCCCGAACCAAAGUUCGGGAGAUAUUAACAUUCCUAACUUCAGACUCACCAGUAAAGGCAAGCCCCGGACAUAACCUACUAUUUUAUUACACUGCAAUCUAUAUCUAUUUACGUAUUCUAUGCAUUAAGUUCUUAGGAAUUGCUUGAAAACCCUAGUUGCAUUUUCCCUAGGAACCAAUGUGAUGAAUACUAGCACUUGAGUCCGACUAGCUGCUAUGCUAAUAGGACCGGUAGAAGUCGGGUGAUUUCCUGUCACUCGCGCGAUAUAGGAAUUGUAAUGUUACAUUCCUGUUACCACUAUAAGGAUGCCGGACGGGAGUUUUGUGCGGUAUCAUGGCUGAGAUGAUACCCCGUCUGUGUUGAUGAAUCUGAUAAGGUCGCAGUGUGUGGAAGUGCGGGUUAAGUGUUUGAAAGUACUAGCCACAUGCCGUGAGUUAUGGGUAAGCGGUAAGCCUAGUAGCCAAUCGGCCCGAGGAGUGGACAUACCUCCCACCACAUGUAUUUGGUUCUUUUGGUUACUUGGUUCGACUGGGGAAAUACGUGUUGCAAGGGCAACCAGGAAUACGGGUUUUGUAGUCGCGCUACAGACGUAUGUCCUGCACACAUUGGGUGUGCGUAUGUUCCUGCAGUCGCUUGUGGUGGCUCUGAUCCACGAGUCGGAAUGAAAGGCAAACGGUUGCUUUGGAAUGACCCUGUGGUGUUCCAAGCGUGUGUGUUAGGUUUACCUUGCAAGGUUAAAUUCGAUUCGAAUCGUCCGCUUCUCACGAAGAUUGAGACUGCUUGAUCCCUUUUCCACAUAGAGUAACAAGAGCAAUAUUAUGGUUAUCAAAGAUGAUGUUUGACCAAAGAUUAUACCAUGCUUGCUUAGUUAUAGGUGCUUACCUAGAAUGGAUAAUUAACUAGAAUCUGAAAGCUAAAACUUGAAGUUAAGGAUCUACUCUUUGUUGCUUUUCAGCUGAAACUAAACCCAGAACCAUUAUAAGCUUUCAUAGGUCUAGUUAUGGGCUAAGUAUACCCAAUCCCGGGUAAGCCUUGCUGAGUAUUAGUAUACUCAGCCUUGCUAGCUUUAUGUUUUUCAGGUAAAGCCUUUGAAGACCCUACUGUUUCCUUGUCAUGGCCCUGUGCUUUUCCAGAAGAUUGGUCCGACGAAUGGGAUCCGUCCCCGACCAACACUGAUGAUCUCGAGUGAUGUCGUGUCUGGGCUUAGCAUGACAUCCACCUUGACGACGUGUUGUUAUUCUUCGCGUAUGUUUUCCGCUGCUUUUGACCCUAGCUUUACAGUUGUAAUCUUUCUGUAGAUUUGAAAAUUCAUACUUCUUUUGGAAAUUCUUGUAAUGAAAUUCUCUAUGAUGUAAAACGUGCUG
rnacentral:lncRNA from 1 species